rnacentral:tRNA from 1 species
GCCCCCAUCGUCUAUUGGUUAGGAUCUCGGACUUUCAUCCCGAGGGACAGAGUUCGAUUCUCUGUGGGGGCA